rnacentral:rRNA from 1 species
AGCAGCCGCGGUAAUUCCAGCUCCAAUAGCGUAUAUUAAAGUUGUUGCAGUUAAAAAGCUCGUAGUUGAAUUUCGGGGUCAGUAGGUUGGUCGUGCCACCGGUACGUACUGGUCUCACUGAUUCCCCCUUCCUGAUGAGCUGUAAUGCCAUUAAUUUGGUGUUGCAGGGAAUCUGGACUGUUACUUUGAAAAAAUUAGAGUGUUUAAAGCAGGCUAACGCUUGAAUACAUUAGCAUGGAAUAAUGAAAUAGGACGUUCGAUCCUAUUUUGUUGGUUUCUAGGAUUGACGUAAUGAUUAAUAGGGAUAGUUGGGGGCAUUAGUAUUCAAUUGUCAGAGGUGAAAUUCUUGGAUUUAUUGAAGACUAACUACUGCGAAAGCAUUUGCCAAGGAUGUUUUCAUUAAUCAAGAACGAAAGUUAGGGGAUCGAAGACGGUCAGAUACCGUCGUAGUCUUAACCAUAAACUAUGCCGACUAGGGAUCGGAUGAUGUUAAUUUUUUAAUUGACUCAUUCGGCGCCUU